UGUCCCUAUUAUUCCAGGGCUUUGCAGUGGUGAAAAACAAGGACACACUUUAGUUCUGGUUCUGCUUUUUUCAUUUUUCAGAGGAAAAAAGUCUCUAAAAGCCAAAUGUUGAAGACUAAAGCUAGAUUAUAAACCAUACCAGUCUUAAGUACUGAACACACAUGCACACGCACACACUCACCAUUUACACUUUAAAACAAUAUUAACUUUGGGUGGAGGGUAGUUUAAUGGUUAUGCAAAGACUCUCAUGCCAGAGGCUCCAAAUUCCCAGGUUCAGUCUCCUGCACCACCAUAAACCAGAGCUGAGCACCACCAUAAACCAGAGCUGGUAGUAACAAUCAAAAAAGAAACAAUAAAAAAAACGACAAUAUUAACUUCUAAGAGAACUUAAGGAAGCUCAGGUGUUUAUACUUUUCACAUUGACUUGUCCAUUGUCAUAGUUUGUGUGAAAGAAAAUGAAAGCACAGACUUCUUUGGGAACCCACCAAGUCACCGGUGAAUGCAAACACUGUGUGGCUUGUGGACUGAGAGGGGCCUAAAGAGAGUCCUGGGCCUAAAGCCCAUGUCUACUCCUGAGCAAUCCGGCAGUUUGCUGGUAACAGUACUGAAGUUUGUCAGUUGAGGCGCUACCUCCAGUCUGUUUUAUCAACAAAAAGACUGCUGAAGGGAGGUGAGGAACAAACCCCCCCCCAUCCCUAAGGAUCACCAAAUGCAACUGCUACUAUGUGACAAUCACCAUAAACUCAAAACAAGCAAGCAAGAAUGCAAACAGACCCUCUCUGACUGCCCGCAAAGAAAUAAACCAUGAAGAAUAUAAGAAAUAUUCUUGGAAUUCUGAAUAAAACCAGGAGUGAAACA